rnacentral:rRNA from 1 species
UAAAACGUAGGGGGCGAGCGUUAUCCGGAAUCACUGGGCGUAAAGGGCGUCUAGGCGGUUGCUUAAGUCUCGUGUGAAAGCUCCCGGCUCAACUGGGAGAGGGCAUGGGAAACUGGGCAACUUGAGACUCGGAGGGGGGUGUGGAAUUCCCGGUGGAGUGGUGAAAUGCGUUGAGAUCGGGAGGAACACCUGUGGCGAAAGCGGCACCCUGGUCGAGGUCUGACGCUGAAGCGCGAAAGCGUGGGGAGCGAACGGGAUUAGAUACCCCGGUAGUCCACGCCGUAAACGAUGACAACUAGGUGUUGGGUGCCCUAGAGGCGCUCAGUACCGCAGCCAACGCGAUAAGUUGUCCGCCUGGGGAGUACGGCCGCAAGGCUA